rnacentral:tRNA from 1 species
GAGCUGGAGCUCAGUGGUAGAACACUUGCCUUGCAUGCGUGGGACCCUGGGUUCAAUCCCCAGCACCACA